UACGGAGGGGGCUAGCGUUGUUCGGAAUUACUGGGCGUAAAGCGCAUGUAGGCGGCAGCGCAAGUCGGGCGUGAAAUCCCACGGCUCAACCGUGGAAGUGCACUCGAAACUGCGCAGCUAGAGUCCUGGAGAGGAAGGUGGAAUGCUUGGUGUAGAGGUGAAAUUCGUAGAUAUCAAGCGGAACACCGGUGGCGAAGGCGGCCUUCUGGACAGUGACUGACGCUGAGAUGCGAAAGCGUGGGGAGCAAACAGG
rnacentral:rRNA from 1 species